AACGAACGCUGGCGGCAGGCUUAACACAUGCAAGUCGAACGCCCCGCAAGGGGAGUGGCAGACGGGUGAGUAACGCGUGGGAACAUACCCUUUUCUACGGAAUAGCUCUGGGAAACUGGAAUUAAUACCGUAUACGCCCUACGGGGGAAAGAUUUAUCGGGGAAGGAUUGGCCCGCGUUGGAUUAGCUAGUUGGUGGGGUAAAGGCCUACCAAGGCGACGAUCCAUAGCUGGUCUGAGAGGAUGAUCAGCCACAUUGGGACUGAGACACGGCCCAAACGCCUACGGGAGGCAGCAGUGGGGAAUAUUGGACAAUGGGCGCAAGCCUGAUCCAGCCAUGCCGCGUGAGUGAUGAAGGCCUUAGGGUUGUAAAGCUCUUUCACCGAUGAAGAUAAUGACGGUGGUCGGAGAAGAAGCCCCGGCUAACUUCGUGCCAGCAGCCGCGGUAA
rnacentral:rRNA from 1 species